rnacentral:rRNA from 1 species
UACGUAGGGUGCAAGCGUUGUCCGGAAUUAUUGGGCGUAAAGAGCUCGUAGGCGGCUCGUCACGUCGGCUGUGAAAACCCGGGGCUCAACCCCGGGCCUGCAGUCGAUACGGGCGAGCUCGAGUUCGGCAGGGGAGACUGGAAUUCCUGGUGUAGCGGUGAAAUGCGCAGAUAUCAGGAGGAACACCGGUGGCGAAGGCGGGUCUCUGGGCCGACACUGACGCUGAGGAGCGAAAGCGUGGGGAGCGAACAGG